AAGUGUAUAUGUUAACUUAAGUAGAAAUGAAAGUUAUAACGCUCAUUGAUAUUUAAGCUCUCUACGUUUUUAUGCCUCACUCAGGGGCAUUAUGUUUCUCGGUUGUUUCGUCCGUACGUCAGUCUGUCCCUCUUCAGGUUAAAAGUGUUUUGGUCAAGGUAAUUGUUAUGAAGUUGAGGUCCAUAAGCAUCAAACUUCGUACACAUGUUCCCUAUGAUAUGAUAUUUCUAAUUUAAAUGCCAAAUCAGAGUUUUGAACCCAAUUUCACGUUCAUUUAAACAUUGGUAAUGAUACCAGACAGAAUCUAGCGAACAAUAUCUAGCGAACAAUAAGCCAGCGAACAAUAAGGCGUUAUAUCGAGAAACCAAAAAAAUGAAUACGACAGCAACGACCGUUAAAAAAAAUAAAGAAAAGCUAUAACUUUGAACCAUACCUACUUUCUCAAAACUUUGAAUAUAGACAACUAAUUUCUAAAUUUCGAAUAAGUGACCACUGCUUAUUAAUAGAAACUGGAAGAUACAGGAAAAUUCCCAGAGAUUUAAGACUAUGUACACAUUGUGAUGUACUAGAUGAUGAGUUUCAUUUCUUUUUUAAAUGUAAAAAAAAUGAACAAUUAAGAAAAGAAUUUUUAAAUGAAAAUAAAUAUAAUAACUUAAAUGAUAUAGAUAAAUUAAAACAUAUUCUCAAUCCUGAAACAAAACAGGACACUUGCAAAUUAGGCUCCUUUUUAAAAAAAGUCACUAAGACUGAGG
rnacentral:lncRNA from 1 species